rnacentral:tRNA from 1 species
GUCGUGGUAGCUCAAGUGGUAGAGCAUCGGACGGGUUAUUCGAAGGUCGCAGGUUCGGAUCCUGCCCACGGCA